rnacentral:rRNA from 1 species
UGACCUCGGAUUAUGUAGGAUACCCGCUGACUAGCAUCUAAACCGCGGGGAAGAGAGAAAAAA